CCCGAAAUUAAAAGAUCUACUUUUUAACUUACGUUGUUGUAGCAAUAACAACCUUAAUAAAUAGUAGUUAUGAAAAUUUAAUCGAUUUUAAUUAUACCUGGUUCUACCUAUUUAUAAUAUUAAAUAAUGGACAUUUAUUGUCUAAUAUUUUACUUGGUUAAGCUAAGUAUUUUUGAGUUAAAGCCAUCUUAAAUAAAGAAUAAGAUUUAAAAGUAGUCUUCAUUUAGUGUCAUUAUAGCUAUCUAUGAUAUAUAUCUAAAUUUUAUUUUUUUUACUCUUUGAUAGGUUGAUUUAAGAGGAAUUUCUCUCUUAAUUUAUAAUGUAUGUAUUAUUAGUUUUGUUUAUAUUUUAUUAUUAAUAUUAAUGUGUGAAAUCAGAAUUCGGCUAUUUUUCUACAACUGUUUAUUAAAAACAUAGCUUUGAGCGUUUAUUCAAAGUAUCUUCUGCCCACUGAUAUGAUUAAAUGGCCGCAGUACUCUGACUGUGCUAAGGUAGCGUGAUUCUUGUUUUCUUAAUUAGAAAUCUGUUCAAAGAAUGAUAUGUAGAAAAUCUAUUGUUUUCAUAUAUAAUGAAGUUAAAUUGUUAGUGAAAAUUCUGACAAGUGUUUAAAAGACGAGAAGACCCCAUAAAACUUAAUUUGAUCUUUUUACCUCUAGUUUAAAAUUUAAAUGGGGACUUUAGAGUAUAACAAUAACUUAUUGACCUAAAAUUUUAUUAUUUGAGAAGCUACUUUGGGGAUAACAGGGUGAGAUAUUUAGAGAGUUCAUAUCGAUAAAUAUAAUUACUACCUCGAUGUUGGAUUAUCUUUUCAUAUAUAUUGUAGCAGUAUAUAUUGUUAGUCUGUUCGACUAUUAAAAAGUUACAUGAUCUGAGUUUAAACCGUUGCAAGACAGGUUGGAUUUUAUCUUUAACUUAUUUUUAAAUAUUUUAGUACGAAAGGAAUUAAUA
rnacentral:rRNA from 1 species